GGCACCAGAGACAUAUGAUAAAUUGGAAUGAUACAUAGAAGAUUAGCAUAGCCGCUGCGCAAAGAUGCUUGUAAGCACAAAGUCUUAAAAUCAAAU
rfam:Beta vulgaris subsp. vulgaris Bvchr5.sca019.con0040.1, whole genome shotgun sequence.